rnacentral:rRNA from 1 species
GCCAACGACCAUACUACAUUGAAUACCUACACCAGUUCUCGUCCGAUCACUGAAGUUAAGUAACGUCGAGCAUAUAGUUAGUACACUUUGAUUGGUGACCGCUUGGGAACACUAUACUACGUGCCGUUGCCA